ensembl:misc_RNA 7SK 7SK RNA
GGAUAUGAGGGCGAUCUGGCUGCAACAUCUGUCACCCCAUUGAUCGCCAGGAUUGAUUCAGCUGAUCUUGCUGGCUAGGCGGGUGUCCCCUUCCUCCCUCAUCACUCCAUGUGCGUCCCUCCUGAAGCUGUGUGCUCAGUAGAAGUGGACAGCCUUCCCCGAAUACAGACGGAUGGUCUUCAGUUGAGGGUACAGGAGUAGCUGUGCCCCAUUACUAGAACCUCCAAACAAGCUCUCAAGGUCCACAAAAUACUUAAAAGAACAGUCAUAGGGUGGUGGUGGGGAAGAGUACAGGUCCUGGAAAAAGAUGACAGAGGAACUAGUGGCGGUAGUAUUGUUAUGU